rnacentral:lncRNA from 1 species
UUGGGGAGACACAUGAUGUGUGUUUAUGGAUUAAUUUGUCUUUUAAAAUGGAAUUCCGUUUAGAGGGUUAAUUUUCAAUUAUAGUUUGUAAAAUUUAAUAUUUAAGUUCAGGACAUGAUAUUUAAAUAAAAAUAAGUAGUGUAUUUUCGUCAGAGGUUUUUAUACAUGACAUUAUCCUAUUAAAGUACAUGUGCUAAAUAUGUAUUCGCUCAUUUUAAAGGUGGGCACCUUAGACUUUUUAGCCGCACAUGCAAGAAAUCAAGAUAUUUUUGCUUGCUUAGUUUUUCCGGUCAAUUUUUUCAUCUCACUUCAAUUUAUUUUCUCAACCUUAUAAAACUUGUGGGUGGAAGAUGGCAGCUCUUUUAUUUGUUUUGGCUCAGUUUGGAAGCUUCAUACCGAUUAGAAACUAUGCAAAUUGGGUAAGUUUUUCUACAUCUAAUACAUCUACAUAGUUCAGAGUAACUAAUUUUGAUUUUGUCAAUAGCUAAAAAGACAGAACAUGCCAUAAUUUUCCACUGUGUUAUAGUUUCAUAUCUAAGAUUUAGAUACAGGAUAACUUCGACAUUUUUCUUAGUGUUCUGUGAAAUUUGAAACUGAUUGGAUGAUAUACGAGUUUCUCGCUAAGUUUAUGAAUAAAUUAUAUUUUCCAGGUUGUAAAGGGGUGGUAGAAAAAUAUUGUCAUAAUUUGUUGUGACCUGAAAAUUGAGUAUGGUAUAGGUCAUAACUCAUUUCUGUUUCUGUCCAGGUUGCUACAGCUGUUCUUCAAAACUAUAAGGACAAUACAAGAUUGCAUCUAAUAUAUGCUAAUUUUCCACAUGAGGACAUUCUUUUGAGGUAAUUUAACGUAAUUUUAUCUUCCAUGCCAUUUGAUUGGAGAAUAUUGCUGAUUGUUAAGUAAGAACAAGAUAUAAAAUGAUAAAAGGUAAUGUUACAGAAAAAGUUGAACUUCUAUCAAACAUCUUUAUGAGCUGAGUUGUAUAGAAUAUGAAGAAUUAUUUGUCUUAAGAAGUUACUAUAUUUAGCACAUGAUCAUAAAAAGAUUUCCAAGAAAACCUAUAUUAGUCUUCUUUGAAUGUAGCGCAGUCGCUUAACAUAUAAAUUGCAAGAGUUAUAACUCAAAUAUGUUUGCAAAUAAUAGAAAAAUAACAGUCCAAUUCUAGGAACAAGACGUAUCGGUUGAAUUCAAAGUUCAGAUAUCAUUUGUCUGCAAGGAUUGAGACUCAAGCCCAAAACUAUCAGCAGACAAUCCCAUAAUUAUUAGUCCACUUGAGAUAUUUCAAGUGCAAAAAUCAACUGUGUUGGCCAGUCCAACAUUGCAUAUCAUUCUCCAAUUUACAUGAUCAUGCAUUUCAUAGACUGCAGUAGCUAAUUAUCUUUUGCCCACCAUAUUUGUGGUUUAUACCAUACUAAUGUUUGAUUGUUCCGCACUAACUUAUAAUUAUUUGGAAUAGCGGUAGUAAGUUACUAUCUAAAACAAUAUGAAACAGAUGUUGUUAUUUGUGAAAUUGAGGAAUUAUGCUUAUUAGAUAAAAGUUGCAUAUGCAUUUGUUUUUUUUGCAAUAAAAAUAUUUGGCAUACAUGUCCAAACAGGAAGUGGUAUGCGUAUAAAUGAAUAAUGUUCUCUUUGUUUGGCCAACAAGAUGAGGUGGUUUCAUUUGUUCUUAAUGUUCUUUUUAGAUUUUAAUAUCUGUCUUUUUUCUCUUUUGCUUAAAUGAGCUUAACAAAAGCAUGGUUAUGUUGUUUCAGUUUCUUCACAGUUUAGUAUCUUCCUCCACAGGGAGAUAUUCCAAAAAGAUGGCUUAUAACCUCGAAGGACAUUCAAAAGGGAUGUUUUUCCCAGUGAAGUAUGUCCGUAGGCCUUUUUGUGGAAGCAAGUUGAAUAAUGAGAGUAAGAUAAACAUUGGACUAUGUUGCAAAUACAUGUGUCAUAAUUUUUUGGAUUCUUAAUUGGAUGUAUUUAGUAAGACGUGUUGAUACGUUAUCAAUAUAAAUAUUUGAUCAGAUUAAUAUUAAGAAACAAAGAUGAAAUUGUUUUCCCAAUAAACCUUUUUAUGCAGUUUUAUGCAAUCUAUAUUGGUACAAACAGCGAAGUCGGGCUUACGCCGGUACAUAGCACGGGCACCGGCCAUCUAGAUAAUAGAUAAAUGGAAGAAUCUAGAAACUAAAAAGAAAUAGAUAAAUGGAAGAAAGGGAGAGUAUGAAUUAGCGGAGAAAAAUUAGGCACCACAGGCAUAAAGUUAAUAACAUAGUUGUGUACGGUCAAAAUCGAGUCUGCCCUUCAUAUGACUAAUUGAGAUUGGAACAUGAUGGUCCAAGGUCCAUCAUUGUAAUAUCGAGCCAUGAUACGAAGUUAGGUUGUCGAGCUCAACCCCCAGAGACCGAUCAAUAUCGAGAUCGAGUCAAGAUCGAGCUUGAGACCCAGAG